AGUGAUAGAAUGAUGUAAGAGAAAAGAAAUUGAGCUAGUGAAAGUUAUAGAGUCGAGGGAAGUUGUCAUAGGCGG